rnacentral:rRNA from 1 species
CCUACGGGUGGCAGCAGUGAGGAAUAUUGGUCAAUGGACGAGAGUCUGAACCAGCCAAGUCGCGUGAAGGAUGACUGCUCUAUGGGUUGUAAACUUCUUUUAUAUGGGAAUAAAAUGUUCCACGUGUGGGAUUUUGUAUGUCCCAUACGAAAAAGCAUCGGCCAACUCUGUGCCAGCAGCCGCGGUAAUACGGAGGAUGUGAGCGUUAUCCGUAUUUAUUGGGCUUAAAGGGUGCGCAGGCGGAUUUUUAAGUCAGCGGUAAAUUCGUGGGGCUCAACCCCAUCCAGCCGUUGAAACUGGGGAUCUAGAGUGUGCGAGAGGUAUGCGGAAUGCGUGGUGUAGCGGUGAAAUGCAUAGAUAUCACGCAGAACCGCGAUUGCGAAGGCAGCAUACCGGUGCACAACUGACGCUGAGGCACGAAAGCGUGGGUAUCGAACAGGAUUAGAUACCCUUGUAGUC